GGUCUCCUCGCCCUCACCCGCUGUGUGUAGCAGCAGAGCGAGAGUGGUGCCUCUAUUUGUGCGUUUGUGUUCGAUUAGCUGCAAUGGGCGGACAGUUUCUGGAGAGAGCAUUUACAAUUUUCUUUCGUUCUGACAGGAUUAGUUGCCGUUGAAGGGGGCUCCGCCAAUGAAAUCUUCUCUGCGCUCUGAUUUGGCGGUUCUUCGGUGCAAAUAUGACAGCUUUCUCUCUCAGCUCUUUUCUGCAUCUCUCCAUGUCCGACCCCGGAGCCCAGUUCUCGGUCUGCAAUUUCUACACCACAACCUUUGCAAUCACCACCACCACCACCCCUAGGUCCCAUGUCAGCAGGUGCCAGGUUGCUACAAAGGUGACAGGGCACAUUGGGAAGAAGGCUUGUUGAUUGCAGAAGAUACUUAUGCCCCGUGUUUCCAGUGCUAUGAAGUGCAAUGAGCUGGCCUGAGACUGUCAGAUGGAUUCUCCAGGGAAAGUGUUUUCCAGGAGCUUGCCAUGAACUGGAUUUAAGCAGGAGACAUUUACAGAAAGCUGCAAAUGAUCAAAACACAGAGAGUAACUGACUAUGGGUGCCUAGCCCUAACUGAUACAUCCACAAUAUGACCUUACACCCAAGACUCAAGAAACAUGGAGGAUGUUCAGAACGAUUACAAGAGCCAGAAGCCUAGCAAAGACAACUUAGACGUGUGUGACCUGCAUCACCUAAGGAACAGGACAAAGUAUCAAGAGCAGCCUCCGACUUGGGAAAAUUGGACCAGAACAAUGGCUCUUCCAGUGCCUGUUCUUUCACUCCUGUUUUGUGUUGUGGAGAAGGUAAUGCAGGACUAAAUUACCUCUCAGUUCUGUUGUAAUACCAACAUUUAUAUAUCUGUGACAUUUAGGAAUCACACAAGCCUAAACACAAUUACUGAAAUACGUUGUGGAUGGCUCUUUGAUCCGAAAUGUUCUUUUCAUUGUGUACUUUGCUAAGAAGAAAGGGAAGGGAAGAAAAUCCCUCAUCCCAAAAUUUCCCAGAAGGGAGCUACUCGUCUGCCUGAUGCAGAAAAUUGUAGAAGCUAUCUAAAUAAGGAUAAGGGACAAAAUUACAGCAGCUACUCAUCUCUGUGCUAAAAUUUCUACUCCUUCAUUUUAUUUUUCAAAUCAGUAUACAAAGUAUUAGUUAUCAUAACAUUUGGAAAGAUUUUAUUUUAUUUUAUUUUAUUUUAUUAUCAUAAGUGUGAGGAAGGGUGCUUUGUCUGCAUGUAUGGUUGUGCACCACAUUUGCCUAGUGUUGCUGGAGCAGAGAAGAUGUCAGAUCUCUUGUAAUUGAAGGCUGAGAGCUAUGAUGUAGGUGCUGGGAACCAAACCCAGGGUUCUCUGCAAGAGCAGCAAGUGCUCUUGACCACUGAACCACGUCUUCAAACCCACAUUAUGACACUUAAGUAUUACAGUAAACCAUCCUUACCCUCAAUUUCCCACUGAGCCGUUAUUUCCCUGCCAUUGUAACUCCCAUCUUCAUAUCACAUGUGUCUUACUACUGCACAAACAUGACUUCCUCAGCACCAUUUUACACACACCUCCUUGAUCUCUUUUUGCAGUUAUUUAGGACUGUCCACUUCUACACAAUUUUUAUAUACAGAUGCAUGCAAGUCAAGCUAUGGCUGUGCAUGAGAGAUAGUGCAUGUGGUUUUUAUCUUUUGCAGUGUUGUUUACUAUUAUACUUUCCACAAGCAUUUUACUGCAAAUCUUACAAUUUUGUUUUUCUUUACAAUUAAGUAAAUUUACAUUACACACACACACACACACACACACACACACACACACACACACACACACACACAGAGUCACCAUACUUUUGUUUUCCAUUCAUCUGGUGAUGGAUAUAUGUAUAAUUUCAUAGACACAUGUACAAACCCACAGGGAUACCCUAGCAAGACAGUUAACAAGCAUGAUGAUAUCCCCAUAGAUUCAGUGAUAUUGACAGAGUAGUUAAACAUGUGAGUGGCUUGGUAAGCAAUCAGGAGAGAAGAGAGGCAAGGAGAUCAGGAGAGAUAAUAUGCAAAGGAACCACGAGAGGCCUCAUCAUGACCCAGUUCCACUAGACUGCACUAGCGGUUCUUGAAUUGGAUUAGAACAUGAACAACUAGUUUUACAAGCCAAAGAGAUUAUCCUCAAUUUGGCAAGUGGAGAUUCUAAAUUUAUCUAUGCUAUUUAGAGCCAACAUACGCAAUGAUGUUUGGCCUUCCCCAGGUGCUGGCUGUCUGAUACCAACUGAGACAUUUAAACGGAAAAGAUUACAUCUGCUGGUUAUUUAUUUUCUCAAGAAAAUGAAGAAACCCUUAGUUCCC
ensembl:lincRNA